rnacentral:lncRNA from 1 species
UCUUUCCUUUUCCUACCUGUUUGCCUCUAAUAAACAUAAAGGUUCUAAUUUCCUUUGUACUCUAGCACACUAGAAAUUAAUGGAAUAAAUGCACAUGCUGUUUUUCUUUGCCAGAGACUGGCUUAUACAACAGAUUUUUACUCUGUAAGACAGAUUUUGCUGUAUUUGUGCUUUUUUCAUCUCCCCCUGAGGAGUAUUAACUCAAAGCAAUCACAAGACACCCACCCUUCCCUGCUGCUUCUUGAACUGCUAUAUUCUCUUCUUUGCUUCUUGCUUCUUGCUUCUCAAUUUGAAGCUCUUUUUUUUUUUUUAAAGAGGAAAGAGCAACAACCAAAAAAUCCUUUCCUGAAAUCAUAAUUAUUUGAUGUGAGAAAGCUUAAACAUGUAAAACACUUUUGUUCACAUAGAAUUCACUCUCAAAAACUGUGUUCUUUCUAUUGAAAUUGAAAUAGGUAGUGUGUUCUGUAAAGUACAUUAUUGGAAAAGGAAGACAUGUACACGCUUGGAAAAUGCUGAGCUGCUUGUGAAGCUAUAGACACUGCGUGUUUAUGACUUGGUUUUCUAAGCAAUCUCCAGAGCUUGAACGGAUUACAGUGAUAUUUUAACAAGGCUGCUGGCAUCCAUCACCAGCUUUCACUUACUGAGAAAGCUAAAAGAUGGAAGAAUGUAAUUAUUUCCAGGUAACCUAAAUGUUAGUGGCUGAUUGUCACAAGAACUUUGAUGCUUUAAACUUCUUUGUCUCCUGUAAAGCAGACAGUCCCUCUGAUGACACCACGAAUCUGGGAAUGAAGAACUUCUCAGAGCUGAUUGGAAAUGGCAUUGCAGAGCUGAAACUUAACUGGAGGAAAUAUAUCUCCUGA